GAGCAGCCAGAAAAGAGACAGGGAGAGUGAGGGGCACCAUGCCCCACUGCCCUUCACCAGGUGGCCGCCUCCCUCUCGGUGUGAGGUGGCAGUGCCUACCCUGUUCUCCCCCCUGGCUUGCACAACCUGCGCCUGAGUCAGUGCCCUGGAAGCUGCCCUCCCCACCUUGCUGUUUACAAACAUCCCAAGCCUGCCCAGGCCUGCCCUGGUGACCCAGGGAUACAUGAUGAAGGGACAGCACACAGUCACUCAACAAGGCCGGUGGGAGGCAGACUUCUGAGCUGGUGAGAGCACCAGACUGUCCCCUCCCAUGGACGUGCAAUCAAGCCCAGGGCCACCAGACCAGCACUGCCACGGUGCAGACAGCCAGGUGCUGGAGUACUGAAAGGUGAGGAGGACAGAGCGGGACGCCGAGGCCAGGGUGGUGAGUCACGUGACUGACUACUCAGCCGGGAAGCAGGCACCUGGAUUCUCCGCCCACAACGUGCCACCACACCUGGUGUUUGCCCAAGGGCUGCGGGCCGGCCUGUGGGCCGGCCUGUGGUCGUCCGCCCCACGCACCCGUCUGCAGUGUACGUUCCCAGCUUCCACCCCAGGGGCGGACUGGCACCCGGGGCUAGAGGGAGUUUGAAAACUGCCGUACUCACACCACCAGGCGACAGAUCAUCCAGGACACCAUCCUGCAGCCUCGGGGGUGAAGGGAGACCACCCAAGAAGACGCCAAGAGGCACGCUCCCGCGGGGCCAGGAUGCGGAGUCAGUGGAGGAGCGGGAACGGAAGGGGCACCCCCAAAUCGGAACCUGCCGCUCCCUAACUCCGCAGAGCGGCUAGCCGGAAGAAGGGGGAGCCCAGCAGGCCGGGCAGGCAGGCCACACACGGAGGCACCGGCCGGGAGCCGGUACCGGCUGGCGCGCUCUUCUGCCCGCCGCGCCGCCCGGCAGUCACGACUUGCACUGCUUGCCGCGGGGAGCCAGGCGUUCGGCCCUCGCGGGGCACCACGGCGGGUCCGGGCCGGGGGUGGUGGGUCGCAGUCCUCGCCCGAACGGUCCCCGCGGCCCAGGCGCCUGGCCCGCCGCGGGGCGGAGUUCCCAGCUCACUUGAAAGUUGCACGGCGCCCGGCUCUGCCCAACCCGGGUCGCCGGCGCCGGGCGCAGGCGCGCUGCAGCCCCGGGGGGCGGGGCGAGGGCGAGGGCGGGGGCGGGGCGAGCGCCCUGCUCCUUAAAGCGGCGACGCUCCGCCGCCUCGCAGGUGGGCCCCGAAGAUUGAGCAGCCCUCCUAAGCGGGAAAAUUAGGGUAUGAGAUGCGGCAAAAAAAAAAAAACCAAGGUGGGGCGGUGGAAGGAGGAAAAAGGAAAUUUGAACUCAAGGUUUCGUGGUCUUCACUGGCUUCCCCCUUUUGCCUUGUUUUUCCCCUCUGUAAAAUGGGAAUGGGCUUAUGAUGGGCCAGGGUCCCCCCUCAAGGCCCAGGCACAAAAGUGGCUUGGCUGAGUGCCAGCAAAUCCGGCUCUUGCACCACUGGGUCAGCAGUCAGGAAACGCCUCAAAGACGCUGAGUUGACCUAUAGGGAAAGCGGGGAGAAAGUAUGGGUGAGGGAACCUGAGGGACUCAUCGCGCCCACCCGACUCACCCUGAAGAGUGGGCUUUGGGAGGGAGUUGACUUCGCGGUGGGAUACCGGUCCAGGGCACACACGCCUGCGCAGGCUGACCACGAUGAUUUCAGAGCUUCCAGGCAGAGGCCCUAGCCCCCCAUGCCUUCUUCCCCAGAAGUUUGAAUAGGUGGAAACGUAUUCCUGUGAGUCCAGAACACAAGUAUCCCUGAGGGCUUCAUAGCAUCAACGAUCGCCAUUUUGUAGUGCAUUUUUGUGCGCAGGGUCUUGAUCCUUUUUUCCCAUUUAGGAAAUAGGCUUGCUCGGUGACGAAAAGAAGCUUGCCCAACGUCACCUGGUGGCACUUGUUGGAUAAACGUUUGGCUUGAUCCGUCGUCUGAGGGCGGCCCUGGGAGGGGACAGGGAACGUGGGAGCCCCCCGCCCCCCGGAGGGAGGUGUAUACCUGGAAGACGACAGGAAGCUCAAAAGAGAAGGCAAACUUUGCUGCCUCUACAACUUUCCACGUGGGGUUGCAUUCUUUGUACCUCUUCUGCUUAGGGCCUCAUGCCUCACUCUGACAAUGGGUAACACAGCAUUCCCCUCCUCCCUGCUCCCCCAGCCUCGCCUCUGCCUCGGGGCCUGAGGUGAGGGCGACAGCAGAGCUGCCGAGAGCUGUGGAGUGGGAAACUUGGCAGUUAUUACUUUUUAUUAGAGCCAUAUUAACACCCACCACCUAUCAAAAGGAUGGAAUAGGCAAUGAUGGGGCCAGGGAAAGGAGGUUUCUUGGGAAUAAAUAAACACACAUAAUGAUUA